CCCAAGCCCCGCCCCCUGGCGCCCGGGUCUCCGCGGGCGCACCUCUGCCCCUCAGCACCCGCCACCUCCCGCGGUCGCCUCGGCGCCAGCUCGGGGCUCAGGCCUGAGGGCGCCGGGGUCCCGCGGCGCUGCCCGCCCCGCCAGGUUUUCAGCCCGCCGCCGCCUGAGGCGAGAGGUAGCCAUCCUGAGCCUGCAACGCUCGGAGACCAAACCCGUCCGCCUCCCCCGGGACCCGCGCGCUGUGUACCCCGGGCGUCCCCGCUGUUGGGUCCAUCUAUGCUGUUGCAAAAGGCACAGACGGUGUCUCUUAAGCCGAGAAAGCAGAACGAGAAUCUUCCCUGUCCUCCUAGCAUCCAGAUGGGGCUCCAGGAGGGCUGUGGCGCCCAGGCAGCCUCUUCCACGCAAGUCCCAGUCAUGCUGACAUGCAAGCCUGUCUGCAGUGUCGCUGAGCCAGCUGUUGUUCCCUCCACCCAGUAGCCAUCCUGAUGAGUGUGGACCUGUUCUUUAUCAGGAGGCUGUGUUUCUGGAACGGCUUAGCGUGAUCCCCAAUUAUCCACUGGAAUUGAGCAAUGGGGAAAGCAGAGCACCUUGCUUCGGGCAGGUGACCUGGUAACCUCGACAGAGAGCUGUCCUCAUUCUGCCCUUGACUUUGUGACUCUGGGCAGGUUGCGCCACCUCCGAGUUUCCAUCUGCCCACUGGGGACCGGGCCUUCUCGACGACAGUCUCCUCCCUCCUCUGCCCUGAUGCUUCUUCCUGGAAAAGACAGGAAGCGAGAGAUGGGAAAUGACUUGUUAGGUAUGCGUCUUAAUCUCAGUAGCCAUCACCCCAGUGAUUAUUUUUUUUUCUUUCUGUUAUAACAAUAAUUCAUGCUUAGUUUUUAAAAGUAAGAUAACUCAGAAAAGCAUGAGAAGCAAGGAAGUAUUGGUCUAUCACUUUGUCACCCCGAGGCAACCACUGAUAACAUUGUGGCCUGUUUCUUGUAGUUUGUUUUUUAAGUGAGGCAGACUUUUCUCAUCCUUGAGAGUCCCUCUUUCUCUAAAGAAGAACUCCUUUCACAGCGGUCGGUAACAAAAUUAACUGAGCUCUCAAUUUCUUAAAUAUAUCUUCCUUUGUGCUAUUCACUCCUUCGGUGUGUCACUUUGAGUGAAAAGCCAUUAAUUACAGUGGAAAUGCUGCUUGGAGACAGCUUAUGAAAUUAUGUUAAUAUGUAUUGAGAGAAAGAAAGGAAGGGGAGAGGGAGCUGAUGGGCAAAACAACCAGCCCAUUUAAAUGGAUAAUUUUCUUUCCUUUCAAGUUUCAGAGUUGAGGGUCACUAUAUUUCUGAAAGGACUAGAAAGCGAUGAUUGUAGUUUUAUUUUGUCAAAAUCAGUAAAACUCGACUGAAAAGCAAAGUUGAUAAACUAGCAAAAAGAAUGACUUUGGUAAAUGUAAUGCAAAACUUUUUUAAAGAAAGAGCACAGAUAUAUCGGUUCAGGAAAAAAGAAAUCUUCAUGAGAAUCUGCAGAUUAAUAGGUGAAGUGUGGAGAGCUCUAAGUGUAAAAGGCAACCUCCUGAGGAUUUCUGGCCUUGGGAAACGAUGUUUGGAGAUGCUUCACCUGGCAUUGUCUAAAGCAAGCAUGUCAAACUCAAAGACUAACACGGGCCAAAUUAACGAGGCAUGAGGCUCACCGGCUGUGAGUUCGACAUGCUUGGUCUAAAGGGAUUGGUCUUCAGUGCUGCUGGACACCCAGGUUUUGUAUAUAUUGUCCAGUCUGGCUGGGACCCCUGAGGAUGGCCUGACCUGGAUCCUGGGCUGGUGGAAUAAUGAAUGCAUGAAAGGUGUUUGGCACACAGGAAGUGCUUAAUAAUUGUUAGGUAAUAAUUGCUAUUAUCUGGGGUGGAGGAAGCCAGAAUCUAGAUCUUCUUGGCAGCGUGGUAGCGGGUGGGAGAGAGUCACACUUGGAAAGGGGACAAAGGUGUGGAGUUGAUAAUCCCUUUAUUUACUUUCUAAUUCCCCCUAAUCUAGGCUUCCAGGGUGUGUGUGUGCACACGAGCGUGUGGUGGUGGUGGUGGUGGUGGUGGUGUGUGUAUGUAGGUGUGUAUAUGUGUGUGUGUUGGGACAUAUAGAGUGGGGAAGGCUCAGGAAGUAGGAAGAGAACUAAUAUUUGUUAAGUACUUGUUAUAUAUAGACACCAUGCUAAGCAUUAAAAAAAAUUCUUGCAAGAGCCAUUAGUUAACUUGACUAAACAUUUGGACCAGGCUCGUUUGCCUAACCUUAAGAGACAUUCCUUUCAUUUUCUGUGGACCUAUAGAGAGAUGUUUUGCCAAUAAGUUUUGAGUUCAAGUCCAAGAAUUUCCCCAAUUUGUGAUAAAUCUGAGACUCUCCUUUUUGGGGUGUUAAGGGGUUUUCUGAUGUAACAAGGAACUGCACCAUUGUUGGUUCCUUUUCAGCAGUCAAGGCCUCUCCUCAAAGGGCUGAGAGGGGUGUCCUGAAGAUAUUGGCAUGGGCUUGCCAGAAAUGGUCUCCAGGCCACGUGGGAACAAGGAGGCCCCAUGGUCCCUGUUUGGUCUGACCCAAACCCUGGGUAAAAGGGAAGCAAGCCCCAACCUGCAGGCCAAGUCUGAUACUCAGUGGGACAGUGGGCCCACUGCCAUCCUUGGCACCACUGGGGCCAAAUUUCUUGCCAAACAGGCUGGAGUUUCAACACGUUGGGAGAGCGCAGGAGGCUGGGAGCAUCACUUUGCUGUCGAGCCCGAAGCUGGGCCACAGCAGACCCUAGAGCAGUGGUUCUCAACCUUCCUAAUGCCGCGACCCUUUAAUACAGUUCCUCAUGUUGUGGUGACCCCCAAUUUCAUUGUUACAAAUUGAACAUAAUUAAAGCAUAGUGAUUAAUCACAAAAACAAUAUAUAAUUAUAUAUGUGUUUUCUGAUGGUCUUAGGCGAUCCCUGUGAAAGGGUCGCUCGACCCCCAAAGGGGUCGCGACCCACAGGUUGAGAACUGCUGCCCUAGAGAGUCAGGCAGCACAGCACUGGAAGGGGGUGGGCAUGGGCACGGGCACUGGGGAUUCAGCCCUCUCUGGGGGAAUUUUCUGUACCAUUUAACUCCAGGGAACUGAGCUGUGACGGAUAUGUCACAAGACACCCCAGGAUGAAGAUGAGCUUUCUUCAGGUGUUCUACCUGUGAGAUCUUAGAAGUUAGACUAGAAAGGUUUUUAGGAACGAUCUAGUCUACGGUGAUUUCCUAUUCUUGUUGAGCCUGAGUCAGGAGAGGAGGUGAACUAUAAUUAAUAGAUACUCUUUAAGAAAGCAAGACAUUUUAUAGUGUGUCUUAGAAAGAUUUCUAUUCAAAAUGAUUGCAGUCCUUAAUUUAUAUACAAAGUAAUUAUAGUUUUUAACAUUUUGGCCAAGGGAAAGCUUCAGCAACCAGUAAAUGUUAUUUAGGUGGUAUGGAGAGUACCAGAUUUUGCUGGGUAAUGAUAAGAAUCACACUUAAUGAGUGUUUACCAUAUUUCAGGCCCAAUUCUAAGUGCUUUACUUAUCUUAAUUCCUUUGAUCCAUGUAAUAACCCCAUGCAAGGGUACCGAUAUUAUUCUUGUUUUAAAUAUGAGGAAACUUGAAGACAGAGGGGUUUAGUAACUUACCCAAGGUCACACAGCUAAUAAGUGGCAAGCUUGGAUUUGAACCCAGGGAGUUUGGCUUUCGAGACUAUGCUCGUAAGUGCCGUGUGUUAAGGUGCCCCGGAUCAUGAGGACUUAAUUUCUUUGGAUAUUUUACCAAGUGACUGUUCAUGUAAAGUAUCUGUAGGCAUGUCAUGGUGACUGUUUGGGGAUCAGUUGGAACAAAUUGGGAAGACAGCUUGACUCCUCUCUUCCCCCCCGUGUGAUAGAUAUUACAAAUGAGAAAAUUAAAGCCCAGAGAUGUAACUGCCCUAAGGUUACAUCAUAAAAAACUGCCUGGAAGUCAGAACUUAACACCCAAGCUGGGCUUUCCUCAAUAGAUCACCCUUUGUUCUGAAUGAACUCUAUAGCAAACUUUUAGAGUUCUGAAUUCCCUUUCUUUCUUUCUUUCUUUCUUUCUUU